GCCGAAAUAGCUCAACUGGGAGAGUGUUAGUCUGAAGAUCUAAAGGUCCCUGGUUCAAUCCCAGGUUUUGGCA
rfam:Ovis aries breed Texel chromosome 14, whole genome shotgun sequence.